AGCGAACGCUGGCGGCAGGCCUAACACAUGCAAGUCGAACGAACCUUUCGGGGUUAGUGGCGGACGGGUGAGUAACACGUGGGAACGUGCCUUUAGGUUCGGAAUAACUCAGGGAAACUUGUGCUAAUACCGAAUGUGCCCUUCGGGGGAAAGAUCUAUCGCCUUUAGAGCGGCCCGCGUCUGAUUAGCUAGUUGGUUGAGGUAAUGGCUCACCAAGGCGACGAUCAGUAGCUGGUCUGAGAAGAUGAUCAGCCACAUUGGGACUGAGACACGGCCCAAACUCCUACGGGAGGCAGCAGUGGGGAAUCUUGCGCAAUGGGCGAAAGCCUGACGCAGCCAUGCCGCGUGAAUGAUGAAGGUCUUAGAUUGUAAAAUUCUUUCACCGGGGACGAUAAUGACGGUACCCGGAGAAGAAGCCCCGGCUAACUUCGUG
rnacentral:rRNA from 1 species